GGGAUAGAUGUGAGGCAAGGCCAGUCCCAGGUCGGAGGUGUGGGGGUGGGGACUGUGCCCUUUCCCCUUGUUGCUGGUGGUGUAUCCCUUAAUGUGUGUUUGGAGCGCGAACCCCAAUUGCAGAGUGUGGCAAAAGCAAGGGCUCCAGCUGAAGGGAGGGGUGGAGGAAGGAGGUGUGUGGAAGAGCUGCGCAGGCCCAGAGUAAAAGGCAGGCCAGGAGGCUUGGAGCGCAGGCGCUCAGGGGCAGGCAGGUGGCACGCAGGCGCAGUAGGGGCAGGCAGGUGGCACGUGGCGGAGGGGGAGGGGAGCGGAAAGUUCCCGCCUUUUCUGUCAGAGCCUCCCUGUGUCGCUGUGCCUAGCAUUAAGGUCCGCCAAGGCAAAAGACUGGAAGUUGCAUGUGGACUGUGUGAGGUUUUCUCCCUCCCCUUGCCUUCCUUCCUGCUUUCUUCCCUCCCUGGUGAAAUGAAGGUCCUCUCAUGAAGGUGCUUCUGGAAG
ensembl:lncRNA